ACGGUAAGGCCCUUUCGGGGGUACACGAGUGGCGAACGGGUGAGUAACACGUGGGUAAUCUGCCCUGCACUUCGGGAUAAGCCUGGGAAACCGGGUCUAAUACCGGAUAUGAGCUCCUGCCGCAUGGUGGGGGUUGGAAAGUUUUUCGGUGCAGGAUGAGUCCGCGGCCUAUCAGCUUGUUGGUGGGGUAAUGGCCUACCAAGGCGACGACGGGUAGCCGGCCUGAGAGGGUGAUCGGCCACACUGGGACUGAGACACGGCCCAGACUCCUACGGGAGGCAGCAGUGGGGAAUAUUGCACAAUGGGCGAAAGCCUGAUGCAGCGACGCCGCGUGGGGGAUGACGGUCUUCGGAUUGUAAACUCCUUUCAGUAGGGACGAAGCGAAAGUGACGGUACCUGCAGAAGAAGCACCGGCCAACUACGUGCCAGCAGCCGCGGUAAUACGUAGGGUGCAAGCGUUGUCCGGAAUUACUGGGCGUAAAGAGCUCGUAGGCGGUUUGUCACGUCGUCUGUGAAAUCCUCCAGCUCAACUGGGGGCGUGCAGGCGAUACGGGCAGACUUGAGUACUACAGGGGAGACUGGAAUUCCUGGUGUAGCGGUGAAAUGCGCAGAUAUCAGGAGGAACACCGGUGGCGAAGGCGGGUCUCUGGGUAGUAACUGACGCUGAGGAGCGAAAGCAUGGGGGAGCAAACAGGAUUAGAUACCCUGGUAGUCCAUGCCGUAAACGGUGGGCGCUAGGUGUGGGGUCCUUCCACGGAUUCCGUGCCGUAGCUAACGCAUUAAGCGCCCCGCC
rnacentral:rRNA from 1 species